rnacentral:misc_RNA from 1 species
UCAUAUAACUGCAAGUAUCAGCAGUUGAAGUUGGAUUUCCACUCGUCGUCUUGACAGAGAUUACCAUCAUUUAUGUUCAAUGGCGCUUCCUACCACUGCCUUUCUUCUUUCCUCGAUUUUUCUUUCCGCUUCCCUUCUUCUUCUUCUUCUCUUUACCAACAACAUGAUUACUGGAAUCAUUAUCUUUUGAUGAGGCUGGGUUUAACAUAUGCUUCACAUCAAGUACACCAUUUCUGAAAUAUCCCUCGCUUGACCUCAGCACCCCGUUCUCCAGUUUGCGCUUCUCCAUUGAUCUUUUAGCUCCACCACCAAGCUUACCUCCAAAUCGUCCAAGAAUUAUAUUCUCUUGAAGCAUUUUCUCCUCUCUUUCCUUUUGUUUCUUCAUUUGUACACGUGCUACACUUAAAGGCAGUCUUUGUUUCUUUGGAGGCUUGCCACCAAGAGACACUACCUUCCGGUUCUCCAACUCUUUCCUUUCUUUCCAUGUCAUAUGUGAGGCACCCAAAAACUCGAUGUCUUUCAUAAGCUUUCUGAAGUCCCAAUCACGGUCCUUGCUAUCCAUAGCAUCGCUUGUUUGGUUUCUCUUCUUCAUUUUCUUUGCCUUGAAUCGAAGACGAGACGAGAAAAGCAGGAAACGAGACAACACUGCAGCAACCAGCAGUGUAUCGACGACAGCACUCACACGAGGCGCAGCAGAGAAUCGACGACAAACGAAGCACAGCAGAUCAGAGGACUUGAGGAGGCGCAGCAGUCGUGCAAAUAGAGAAGAAAAUCUAAGAAGGGGGAAAGGGGCAAUGAGUAUCGGCGUCGCCGCGUCGGGCACAGACAAGGUGAGAAGAGAUCCGACGCAGAGACGCAGCCGCAUGGG